rnacentral:lncRNA from 1 species
UAGAGGAACGCUGUGGAGACAGCCCGAACUCUGAAGGAGAGACUGUUCCUACCUGGUGUCCUUGUGGUCUUUCUCAGGAUGGCUUCCUUCUCAACUGUGACAAGUGCAGGUAAGAUCCUGUUUCAUCUAAAUUCAAACCUGGGUUGCUGGGAUUAGGGUUUCUUAUCAGUAGGGAAAAGCUCAAAGUAUUUCUUCUUGUGUUUGUUAAUGUAGAUGAUUCCUUAGUGCUCCUUGGCUCGAAUUCUCUGCACUAGGUGAGAAUUGCUGACAACAAGGAAUGAGAGAUUGAUGUUAAAGCUAUUGAAUUUGAUAAGAAAUUUAAUGUCCUGGAAACAUUUGGUAGGUGGGAGGGAGGGGGUAGUACAUACGCAGAGACACUUCUCCCAUGUAUGAUGUGCUGUGCUGCAUGCUGCUGGAAGGACUACUUUAAGUUUAUUUUCCCUCUUUAGGGGAAUGAGCAGGGGGAAGGUUAUUAGACUUCAUCGGCGGAAGCAGGACAACAUAUCAGGUGAGCAGAAGGUGGGUUAAGCCCACAUUUUGACUAAAUAUUUUGAUUUAAAUGUUCUCCUAUAGUACAUAGCUAUUUUCACACAAAGAAGUUCCACCAAAACCACUGUAUCUAUCUGGAAAUGUUUCUUAGACCUCUAACAGUCAAAUUAUCCUUUGUAAGCACCAGAAAUAAUUUUUUUUUUCUGUUAAGUUACCCAUUUAUAGUUAAAGACAGCAGAGUGUGGAAACUACUUUGAAGGGGAAAAAUUGAUGGAAUACAGACUAAAUCUUACUUCAUGCCAACAACAACAACAAAAAAUCUUGUUUUCAGAAGAAAGGUGGGGGUCUAUGUAGAGUUAUAGUAGAGGUAAUUUUUUACCUGGUGUAGGGCAUAUGGAAAGGAGGAAGAAGAUGAUAUUAGUGCCUGAGCUGUGUGAUCAUCUUUUUUUCAGGUGGGGAUAGCAGUGCAACAGAAAGCUGGGAUGAGGAGCUUUCUCCUUCCACUGUGUUGUACACAGCAACACAGCACACACCUACAAGCAUCACCUUAACUGUUAGAAGAACCAAACCCAAGAAGCGGAAAAAGAGUCCAGAAAAGGGUCGUGCAGCACCAAAGACGAAGAAGAUCAAGGUAUGCAAGGUGUAUAAAAACACCUUGAAUACAAGUAUGUCUGAAAUAGCUCAAACAUUUGAUUCAAGCAAAAAUACUCUAAAAUUCUUUGAAGAAAUUUGAUGCCAGUGUUUGGCCACUUUUUUUCUACUUUCAAAAAGUCACCUGAUCAAUAUAUACAAACAGAACAAACUCUCUUCUAACCUUCGUAACCAUCACCACAGGCUCAGUUUCUUCUACUUCAACCACCAUCCCAGGUAUGGAAUGCCAGCCCUUGCUGGUAAAUUCUCAUGUGAGAUACAGCCUUGAAUCUAAGCUUCCACUGUCUUUGCAGCAUCUCCCUACUUCUCUGUCACAAAGCAGUCUGAAGUUCUUGUCUUGUUUACAUGGCUGACCUCAUGUCAUUGAGGUCAUUAGGCUGAUUGAUUGUCCUAUAUCUAAACAGAACAAUAACAUGAGGAAAUUUAUCUUGAAUGGUCUAGAUUUUCUUAUUGUCUUGGUCACUUUUCUAUACUCUUAGAUAAAGGGUCUCUAGAAGAAACAUUUGUCUUUUCUAUUCUUUCUUCCCCAUCACAGCAACUUGGUUGCUCCUAGGUCACUUGCCCACCCUUUGUGAAGGGGAUCAGUCUUUGUUUCCUUCCUAAUUUCAAAACUAAUAAUCUGCAACUUGAGGAUUAUAAUUACUUUCUGCUUGGUGUCAGCAGUUUGUAUAGUCUAUAAGUGGUGCAUGCUCUUACCUAUUAAUUGUCUCAUACCAUCAAAGUAUUGGAAUUCAUGUCCGUGUUCAUGAGCCUUUGAACUGUCCUUUUUCUUGAUCAUGGUUUGAUGUACCGUUGUAUUUGUUACACUGAAAAUGAGACAGCAUAGGAUACUGGUUAGUACCUUACUUAGUUUUAGUCACAUGGAUAUAACUGUCAUUCUUGGUACCAAGUUUUGUUUUGUUCUACUUGUUUUCCUCUUUGGGAUAGGCAUUUCGAGAGGGAUCCCGGAAGUCCUUGCGGAUGAAGGGAAGGGGUAAACCUUUCCUGAUGCUGCAUUUUACAUUUGGUCUUGCCUUUUGAUGGCUUCUUUCCUAACGUUGAUGGUCUGAGACUCUUGGAGUCUGCUUUUCACAAGGUUGUAAUGUUGCCAUUCAGUUUUCAUAAAUAUUUUCUCCAGAGUGGACUUUCUUGUCUAUUUUAUGAAAUAUUUUCAUGUUUCUGUUUCAUUGUGGUAGUGUGGGAGAUAAGUCACAGUUUUUAAAAACAAAACGAGGCUAGUCUGUUUUAUUCCAGUGAUUGGACUCAACCUCAGGAGUGAGAAUUUUCUGGUGAUGAGCCAGGCUCUCUUGUAAACUCUCCUUGACAACUUUGGCUUUGAAUUAUUGUUUGAAAGGAUAACUCUUUAGUAGAAAAUUGGUGUUGUUAAUAUGUGAUAGUCUUACUGAAAAAGCACUAUUUUUCUUGGCAUCUUUUGGCAUUUCUUGGCAUCUUUUUCUUGGUGGAGAUUUAUGUAAUGCUGCUUAUCAAAUAGGACUGGUGUGUGUGUGUUUGGAGAAGUAAUGUACUUUUUAGAUACUGGCUGGGUUUCGUUGUACUGGUUAGUUUUCAAAGAUUUGGUUGUCGUUUCUUAUAUCUUCUUUUGUCCUGCCCAUGAGUAAGUUGACAUACCUCCUAAAAGUUUAGGAUUUAAGAGCUUUAGUUUGAAUUUGAGUUGUACUUUGGUUCUUCUAAGUAUUCGUAUCCCUAAAUCUCUUAAGUUGUCCAUUAAAUAAACAGUGACUCUUUGAGUUAGGAUAAACUUAUUAGGAUUACUUUGUAGUUGGAGCACCAGUGGAUGUUGUCAUUGAUGUCAAGUGACAUUUUACCUUAAAUUUGAAAGUCUGACCUCUUAUGUGGAUAGGAGAUUCUUUAAUGAGAUAAAUCUACAAGUUGCCACGUGUAUUUUCAACUGCUCGUUUCAUUUUAUUUCAUUUACUAACAGGGACCUUACAUAGAAUUUGGGGACUAACUUUAGACCUAAACUGUAAGGCCCUCUUUUUUUUUUCCCCCUGCUAUCAACUAAUACUAUAACUAGCUCAACUUUCGAUACCUGUAAGCAAAAUGAAAGCCAUCUCUUUCUCUCAGAGAAGUUUAUAUACACUUUUUGCUUACAGUUUCAACAGAGCCUUGUAGAUAUGUUAAAAUUUAAAUAGG